rnacentral:rRNA from 1 species
AGAUUAAGUUAUUAAGGGCGCACGGUGGAUGCCUUGGCACUAGAAGCCGAUGAAGGACGUUACUAACGAAGAUAUGCUUUGGGGAGCUGUAAGUAAGCUUUGAUCCAGAGAUUUCCGAAUGGGGAAACACAGCAUGAGUUAUGUUAUGUUAUCGAUAUCAGAAUACAGAGCAUAUCAGAAGGCACACACGGAGAACUAAAACAUCCUAGUACCCGGAGGAAGA